AUGACGAACCUCGACCUUCGACAUCGAGGCCGGCAGACGUAGAAGAAGGUGACAUGCCUGCCCUGAUAGAAACAUGACGGUGAGAGGACAGCCCGGUCUCCUAAACACCCCAACCUCAGAUGACUUGGCCUAACCCACCAUCAUCAGUGUGCUCACAGUCUUCCCGAUUCAGCUGGCAAGAUGAGAAUCCUGUUGCUGGUUAUAGUUUUUCUGGUCACAGACUCCGCACUCGGUGAUCCGUGUGUAAACCACACCGUCCUGGAUCAGCCCUGGAGGAGCACGAAUUGUUCCAACACUGAGUGUACCGGUGGACAAUGGAUGAGUGAUGGAAAUCUUGAAGUGGG